rnacentral:rRNA from 1 species
UGCCAGCCGCCGCGGUAAUACGGAGGGUGCAAGCGUUAAUCGGAAUUACUGGGCGUAAAGCGCGCGUAGGCGGCUCGUUAAGUCAGAUGUGAAAGCCCCGGGCUAAACCUGGGAAUGGCAUUUGAUACUACAAGACUAGAGUGUGGCAGAGGGGGGUGGAAUUCCGCGUGUAGCAGUGAAAUGCGUAGAGAUGUGGAGUAACACCGAUGGCGAAGGCAGCCCCCUGGGUCAACACUGACGCUCAGGCACGAAAGCAUGGGGAGCAAACAGGAUUAGAUA